ensembl:lncRNA
CCUGCCAUCUCUCGAACAACAUGGAAAGGGGGCACAGGGCCGACACCAAAGGCCCCAAGGUGUAGGGAGGACCUUGACUCCUUCUGAAGCUCUCCUCACCCCUAAGUCUCCCCUCUUCCUUUCUUCCCUCUUAAACGGUUCUAGAUGUAGCGCUUCGUCCCAUUUUACUUUAGCUGCAUUUUUACCUCUGACUUGGGAUGACAGCCCAGCCCUUGUUUGCAUGAGCUUAUAAACACAAACUGGAAGUCUUUCUCAUUAACAUGCACGGGGCGGGGGGGUCUCAGAGAAAGGUGAGCCCUGCUGACGCGGCUUCAGCGCACUGCUGGCUCAUUUUUGCAGGGGCUGGACCUGCCUUCUUUUUCCACUAGGGCGUGAAAGCAAACCUUUGUUUUCUUAACGUAAAACACAGGCUGCUUCCACCGGAGCCAGGGUUGCGAAGCCUGCUUCCCAGCCCUCCUCUCCCUGCAGCUGGGGCCUCAGACAUCCACCUGCAGAUCCAGCCCACCUGCAGUUACUUCUCUGGAUUAAAGAAGGUCAAGGAAGAGAAAGAGCGCGGGCAUCGCUCCAGAAUCAGGUCCUGCCCUCAGGCCCCUGACUUGUGGGUUUUGUAGAGUUCCAGCCUCAUUUCCUGCCUUGGUUUUCAUUCUAGAAACAGAAUCUACACCUCAUACUGUGCCACCAUCCCAGCCUGGCUGCCCACAGAAUCCCCUAUAGCCAAGACUUUGUCCAUCCUUCCUUCAUCCUUCAGCGAGGUCUGCCGCCUUCUCCAAGCCUCAUCUUGGAUUCUCAGAUGCUGCAGCCUGCUAAGACUGUGAUUCAGGGCUUUUCCUGACAAACCCUACUUCCCAUCUGGAUCAGCCUGACCCAAGGGAGACAGGACCUCCUAGGCUGUACCCCACCCCUCUGCUGUGUUUAACUAAGCUAAGCCUGGACAAGAGGGGCAAAUUGAUUCAAAGAGAAAUAAAUGACCAAAAAGAAUAUGGUGCAUGGAUAGGGUUAAAAUCAUGAUGAUCCUUAAAGAACCAAAUUUUAGGAAACAGUGUUUUAUGGGACGAUGUCAUCAAAAUUUCUUGUGCACUAAGAUGAUGAACUUCUCUCUCUUCUUCUGUAUAAGGGGUCUAAGAUUGUCUGCCUGGGGUGGUCGUUGGAAAGGUCAGAAAAAAGCCUGGAGCCUUCAAGAGAGAUGCUCAUGCCUGGGGUCCCUGCUCAGGCUGUCAUUUGGUUCAAUAAUGCCGCAAAGGGGUAGGAGGCAGAGUGUGCAGAGGUAUCUCCCGGGAGAGCAGGAUCACCUCCCAGGCCUGACCCAGGUGCUCCAGCUUUUCGGAACACUAUUUCGCUUCAACACACCACAAGGGCUCAAAUGAAAUCAUCUGCAAUAGGAUAAAGGAUUCCUAAGGCAGCAUUCUCGUCUCAUCUUCUCAAGAACUGAAGUAUGUAAGAUGCUUUCUGCUGGGGAUUCAUUGAGAUAAGUUAUUGAAGUCAAGCAGAGAGGCAGGCUUCCAGCACUCGGCUAUUCAUCUCAAAAUUUAUGUUCGUGCUUCCUUUUGAAGGUCUAAUGUAAUCACAAACAAUGCGCUUUCUGUAUGUUUAAAAAUUCAUAAGUUUCCCGUGCAAUGGAGGCGGAGGGUGAGGAACCCCCACCUUCAGGCUCAUUAGCAAUAGGAGGCUUGGAACAGCUGACUUGUUUUCGAUGUAAUUUCUACGGGACUGAGAUCCUGCUGUUAUUGAAAGCCAUUCAGUGGGGAGGAGGAACAAUGUCCACACAUCCUCAUUAACCUGGCCUGGGAAUCCGGCUGUGUGAUUGAUCUGCCAGAUGAUCUCUUUAUUUCUUGAAAACUGCUGCUCCCUCCCAUAUCUUGUUCUUUGGUCUCUGAGACAUGGCCCUUCUCCCCUCUCUGUGCACACAGGUGCCAUCCCAGUUCUGAACCUUAGCGUGGUCAUCUCAUUGGCCUCCCUGCCCAGGGCGGCCCCUCUCCAUUCCAGCCAGCUCACUGCUACCCUUCUGAUCCCCCCAGAACAGUGUUCUCCCCGAAGCUGCCACUGCAACAAGCCCUUUUAACUGCUAAGGGGAGAAGCAAACUGAAAUGCCUCAGAGUGUGCUUUGAGGCCCAACCACUCUGUCGCCCCUUGAAAUCCAGCGGCACAGGCCGUGAGAGCUGCCCUUGAGGGAGGCUCCAGGGAGGGAGCAGAGCAAGUCCCAGAGACCUGGGCUGCUGCUCCUCAAUCCAGCACUCUCCUCCACCAGACAGCUUCAAACAAAAGACUUGUGGAGUAUGAUUCAAGAGAAUGGAGGUUCUAAAGCCCAGCUUAUUCUAACACAGGUCACAAGACACUCCUAUUGAGAGGUGGGUCCCUGCGCUCCCCUUUUCAAUCUGUGAGGGCUUGUGUCUGCUCUGACUCACAGCAUAGGGCAAAAGUGACCAUGUGUGUCUUCUGAUGCUCUUGACUUGCUCUUAGAACUCUGAGGCUCCGUGUAAGAAGACUGACCGCCAUAUAAGAAAAGGCUACCAUGUUAUAAGAAAGCCCAAGCCACACAGAUAGGCCAUAUGUAAGUGUUUGGUUGAUAGUCUCAGCUGAGCCCAGCCUCUGAGGCAUCCUAUCCCCGGCACAGACUUGUGAGUACAGAAGCUUCCAGAUGUUCCAGCCCCCAACCAUUGGAGUCACACUCAACCAUUUAAAACUUCUCAGCUGAGCUCACAGACAUCAUGGAGCAGAGACAAUCCAUCCUCACUGUAUCUGUCCAAAUUUCUGCCCCACAGGAACCAUAAGCAUAGUGAAAGUUUGUGAUUUUCAUCCACUGAAUUUGGGAUGGUUAGCUGCACAGCAGUGGUUAAUGGAACGGAGAGAGAUGUUAAAAUUCCUCCCCCAUCCCUCUCCAGACAGGUCCUCUACGCAUAUUCUGGGUGCCUGAAAAAGUGCUGCCUCCCCCAAGGUUUCCAUAGGGGAAAAGCCCUGAGACCUUAUCGCUCAGAUUCUUCCCUCACUCAGCAGGGCAUGAGAAGACCUGGGGCUCAGGGCACACACAUCUUGACGAGGGCCUGAGUGGAUUGCAGCACAGAGAAGCCCCCAGGGGUGGGGGCUGUCCCGAGCCUGCAGUGGAGGGCCCCGGCAGCUGAUGCUGCAGCAGAGGCCUGGGCAGGAGCUGUGGGUGCAGAGGGAGAAAACCGGGCUAACGCAAGAGAUAGGCAGGAGCAUGCCAUAGAGCCGAGGUCAAUGGUAUCACCCAAAUACAUCUAGCUCAUUCAGCUCCUAAGUAUAAAAUAACCAAAUCUUCUAGAGAUCCUGAUUUCAACUCAAUUCUAUUCACGUAACAAGCACCCAGCAUCCAGGUCCGGGAGGAAAACAGAAUUGAAGAAGAUGCUGUAACCUCAAGUCGAUGGAAAUCUUUCUCUGCCCUGGGUCUCUGGAAAAUGCUAAGCAAUAUAGAACGAUAAAUAUAAAAGCCUUUGCAGAAAUCGCAGCCCUGGGAAGCCCAAGGCACAUUCUGCUUUACCAUUCUACCAAUUGCAGGGGUCUCUUACUUUGGAGGGGAGGGGUGAGGCUGUCCCCUCCCUGUGUGUCAAGCUCAGAGCAGAGCAGAGGGUCUCCGAGCACAAAUGCAGUCCUCCAAAGGAAACCUCGGCAACACCCUGUGGCUAAUCCCACCGCUUUGCCAGCUGGCUGCAAAGGAGAGCCUGGAAAAGCCUCGUUAAACCACACAAAGCCGGCCUAAGAAGCAACAAAGUGGGUUGCAGCUGCCUCGUGAGCCGGCUGCGCCUGAUUGCCUGUGAUCCCCACUCAGCUUGCGGCCAGCGCGCCUGCUGACACAGCCUGUUGUGUUGGAGACCUUAUUAUUGCAAAUUCCCUUUCCACCCCGCAGAUUCCUCGGAAAUUGCAAACAUGUCUGUUUUUGGCCAGCCCGCCUGGAAAGGUCACUGCCACAGCUAUUGGGCGCCACCGCCAUUUCACUCAUUCAGACACAUACAAACCGUAAUACUUGAGGUCGAAACAGUCACUUGCUGCUGCUUAAUACUGGCUAGACUCAGGCUGGGCCCUGGGCAGAGGCUGACAAGGCUUCGUCCCCACAAAGCGGUGACUCAAGUAUCCCUAGAGAUUCUCAUUUCGUUGAGCCGAUGUGAGUCUCUGGAUGCAGUAGUUUUUAAAGCUCCCUAGUUAAGAUAUGCACAGCAGUUUUGAGAACUACGGCCAUGAGAAGUGGGGCUAAUAGUUAUUGAUCACCUACUGUAUACCAGGCCGAAUAUACUACAAACUUUCUUGUUUCUUCCAUAAAACAGCUAUGAGUGAGGUAUUUCCUCCUUGGAGGAGUGAGGAAAUUAAAGUUUAGAGAAGUUAAAAGUG